rnacentral:rRNA from 1 species
UACGAGGGGGUCGAGCGUUGUUCGGAAUUAUUGGGCGUAAAGGGUGCGUAGGCGGUUUGGUAAGUCUUAUGUGAAAUCUACAGGCUCAACUUGUAGUCUGCAUGAGAAACUGCCGGGCUUGAGUAUGGGAGAGGUGAGUGGAAUUCCUGGUGUAGCGGUGAAAUGCGUAGAUAUCAGGAGGAACACCUGUGGCGAAAGCGGCUCACUGGACCAUAACUGACGCUGAGGCACGAAAGCGUGGGUAGCAAACAGG